rnacentral:rRNA from 1 species
UACGAAGGCAGCAGUGGGGAAUAUUGCACAAUGGGCGCAAGCCUGAUGCAGCCAUGCCGCGUGUAUGAAAAAGGCCUUCGGGUUGUAAAGUACUUUCAGUCGUGAGGAAGGUGUUAAGGUUAAUAACCUUAGCAAUUGACGUUAGCGACAGAAGAAGCACCGGCUAACUCCGUGCCAGCAGCCGCGGUAAUACGGAGGGUGCGAGCGUUAAUCGGAAUUACUGGGCGUAAAGGGCACGCAGGCGGUUAAUUAAGUUGGAUGUGAAAUCCCCGGGCUUAACCUGGGAAUGGCAUUCAAGACUGGUUAGCUAGAGUCUUGUAGAGGGGGGUAGAAUUCCAUGUGUAGCGGUGAAAUGCGUAGAGAUGUGGAGGAAUACCGGUGGCGAAGGCGGCCCCUGGACAAAGACUGACGCUCAUGUGCGAAAGCGUGGGGAGCAAACAGGGAUUAGAUACC